rnacentral:rRNA from 1 species
CAUUGGAACUGAGACACGGUCCAAACUCCUACGGGAGGCAGCAGUGAGGAAUAUUGGUCAAUGGACGAGAGUCUGAACCAGCCAAGUAGCGUGCAGGAUGACGGCCCUAUGGGUUGUAAACUGCUUUUAUAAGGGAAUAAAGUGAGUCUCGUGAGGCUUUUUGCAUGUACCUUAUGAAUAAGGACCGGCUAAUUCCGUGCCAGCAGCCGCGGUAAUACGGAAGGUCCGGGCGUUAUCCGGAUUUAUUGGGUUUAAAGGGAGCGUAGGCCGGAGAUUAAGCGUGUUGUGAAAUGUAGAUGCUCAACAUCUGCACUGCAGCGCGAACUGGUUUCCUUGAGUACGCACAAAGUGGGCGGAAUUCGUGGUGUAGCGGUGAAAUGCUUAGAUAUCACGAAGAACUCCGAUUGCGAAGGCAGCUCACUGGAGCGCAACUGACGCUGAAGCUCGAAAGUGCGGGUAUCGAACAGGAUUAGAUACCCUGGUAGUCCGCACGGUAAACGAUGGAUGCCCGCUGUUGGUCUGAAUAGGUCAGCGGCCAAGCGAAAGCAUUAAGCAUCCCACCUGGGGAGUACGCCGGCAACGGUGCAACUGAAAGGAAUUGACGGA